rnacentral:rRNA from 1 species
CCUACGGGGGGCUGCAGUGGGGAAUAUUGGACAAUGGGGGGAACCCUGAUCCAGCCAUGCCGCGUGUGUGAAGAAGGCCCUCGGGUUGUAAAGCACUUUCAGUGAGGAAGAACGCCUGGUGGUUAAUACCCAUCAGGAAAGACAUCACUCACAGAAGAAGCACCGGCUAACUCCGUGCCAGCAGCCGCGGUAAUACGGAGGGUGCGAGCGUUAAUCGGAAUUACUGGGCGUAAAGCGCGCGUAGGUGGCUUGAUAAGCCGGUUGUGAAAGCCCCGGGCUCAACCUGGGAACGGCAUCCGGAACUGUCAAGCUAGAGUGCAGGAGAGGAAGGUAGAAUUCCCGGUGUAGCGGUGAAAUGCGUAGAGAUCGGGAGGAAUACCAGUGGCGAAGGCGGCCUUCUGGACUGACACUGACACUGAGGUGCGAAAGCGUGGGUAGCGAACAGGAUUAGAUACCCUAGUAGUC